UUUUUUUUCAAUGUUAGUUCCCUGUUUUGAAACUACAAAGAAACAGAAUAUAAGCAGUGAUCUCAGAGCUGUUCAUCACCUUGUUCCAACCUUGGAAGGCUGAAGCUACUGACUGAACAGACAAGAUAUUCUACAAAAGAGAUACUAAUUAUCACCAUGAAGCUGCUGACUGUGUCUGCACUUCUUUGUGCAAUGAUCGCUCUGACCACUGCUGCGAAUGAAGUGGGUAAGGAUGGGUCUGAAUCAAAUCCCCAAGGAGAGCAUCUUGUAGAGAAGAGAUCUACAUGUUUCAGGGAUUUCUGGGGUUGGACUAAAUAUGGAAACCAAUACUUUCACUUCUUUCCCAAUCAACUGACUUGGGCUCAGGCACAGAGACACUGUCAGGCCCUGAAUGCAAAUCUGGCAUCUGUGCGCAACCUUGGAGAAUACCAAGCGAUUCAGAGGGUCAUAUUAAAUGGUGCUCGUAAUAAUGUCCCUACAUGGAUUGGAGGUUCAGAUGCUCAAGAGGAGGGUUAUUGGUUUUGGAUUGAUGGAACCCGUUUCACAUAUGCAAACUGGUGUCAAGGAGAGCCUAACAAUGUCGGGGGCAGAGAGAACUGCCUGCAUAUGAAUUGGACAGGAAACCUCUGUAUGAAUGACAUACCCUGUAACGCCAGAUACCCAUUUGUCUGCGCCAGGAAAGUCAGACGAUCUCUGGAAUGAAGGCUUGGUUCACCGGUCCUCGGAGCAAAUAAUCUCAUAAAUCCAGCUUAAAAUGUUUCUCUUCUUACAUCUUUACUUCUUUUAGUUCACUGCAACGCUACAUAAGGAAUAAGUUGAAAAAUGAUGCAACCUGUAGUUGGAUUGUCUCUUUUAAUGAGUGUGUAAUGGCAAGAAUGCUUUAAGCUUUCACUUUACUUUCCUGAAAGAACAUCAUCUUCAUUAUUAAACCUUUAAGCAUUGAAUCAAA